AGGGCGUAUGGGGAAUGCCUAGGCUCUCAGAGGCGAUGAAGGACGUGAUAAGCUGCGAUAAGUUGCGGGGAUCAGCACAUGUGAAUUGAUCCGCAAAUUUCCGAAUGGGGCAACCCGGUAUAUUGAAGAUAUAUCAUCCUUAUAGGAUGCAAACCUGGUGAACUGAAACAUCUAAGUAGCCAGAGGAAGAGAAAACAAAAGUGAUUCCGCUAGUAGUGGCGAGCGAAAGCGGAAUAGCCCAAACCAAAUAUGUUACGGCAUAUUUGGGGUUGUAGGACCGUGACAUUUGAUGUGUAAUGAAUAGGAAUCUUUUGGAAAAAAGAACCAAAGAGGGUGAUAGUCCUGUACUGGUAAGUUACAUUAUUGAUAACGGUAUCCUGAGUAGUGCGGGGCACGUGAAACCCUGUAUGAAUCUAGCGGGACCAUCCGCUAAGGCUAAAUACUCCUGAGAGACCGAUAGUGAACUAGUACCGUGAGGGAAAGGUGAAAAGAACCCUGAAUAAGGGAGUGAAAUAGAUCCUGAAACCAUACGCUUACAAGCGGUCGGAGCCCUUAUGGGGUGACGGCGUGCCUUUUGCAUAAUGAGCCUACGAGUUACCGUUGUUAGCAAGGUUAAGGAUUUCAGAUCCGUAGCCGUAGCGAAAGCGAGUCUGAAUAGGGCGUAUAGUUAGCAGUGGUAGACGCGAAACCGUGUGAUCUACCCAUGGGCAGGGUGAAGCUGUGGUAACACACAGUGGAGGCCCGAACCGGUUGACGUUGAAAAGUCUUCGGAUGACCUGUGGGUAGGGGUGAAAGGCCAAUCAAACUCGGAAAUAGCUCGUACUCCCCGAAAUGCAUUUAGGUGCAGCGUUGAGCAAAAGUUUUAUAGAGGUAGAGCUACUGAUUGGAUGCGGGGGCUUCACCGCCUACCAAUUCCUGACAAACUCCGAAUGCUAUAAAAUGUUUCUCAGCAGUGAGGGCAUGGGUGCUAAGGUCCAUGUCCGAGAGGGAAAGAACCCAGACCAUCGGCUAAGGUCCCCAAAUAUAUGUUAAGUUGAAAAAACGAGGUUUGUCUGCCCAGACAGCUAGGAUGUUGGCUUGGAAGCAGCCAUUCAUUUAAAGAGUGCGUAACAGCUCACUAGUCGAGCGGACGAGCAUGGAUAAUAAUCGGGCAUAAACAUAUUACCGAAGCUAUGGAUUAACGUUGAAAGACACGUUAGUGGUAGGGGAGCAUUGUAACCUGCGUAGAAGGUGUGCUGUGAGGCAUGCUGGAGUGGUUACAAAAGAAAAUGUAGGCAUAAGUAACGAUAAUGGGGGCGAGAAACCCCCACACCGAAAGACUAAGGUUUCCUCAGCGAUGCUAAUCAGCUGAGGGUUAGUCGGGUCCUAAGGCGAAUCCGAAGGGAGUAGUCGAUGGACAACAGGUUAAUAUUCCUGUACUUCUUAUAAUUGCGAUGGGGUGACGGAGUAUUGAAAGCACCGCGAACUGACGGAAUAGUUCGUUGAAAACUGUAUCUAUAAGAUCUGUAGGCAAAUCCGCAGAUUUUGGAGAAGGUUGAUAGUACUACAAGGCUUCGGCUGCGUAGAUAGUGUGCCUAAAAGCUUCCAAGAAAAACCUCUAAGCUUCAGAUUAUAAGAACCCGUACCGUAAACCGACACAGGUAGUUGGGAUGAGAAUUCUAAGGUGCUCGAGAGAUUCAUGGCUAAGGAACUAGGCAAAAUAGACCCGUAACUUCGGGAGAAGGGUCGCCCAUCUUCGGAUGGGCCGCAGUGAAAAGGUCCAGGCGACUGUUUAUCAAAAACACAGGGCUUUGCUAAAUUGAAAGAUGAUGUAUAAGGCCUGACACCUGCCCGGUGCUGGAAGGUUAAGUGGAGUUGUUAGCUUCGGCGAAGCAGUGAAAUGAAGCCCCAGUAAACGGCGGCCGUAACUAUAACGGUCCUAAGGUAGCGAAAUUCCUUGUCGGGUAAGUUCCGACCUGCACGAAUGGUGUAACGAUCUGGACACUGUCUCAGCCAUGAGCUCGGUGAAAUUGUAGUAUCGGUGAAGAUGCCGAUUACCCGCAGCGGGACGAAAAGACCCCGUGAACCUUUACUAUAGCUUAGUAUUGGCUUUGGAUAAGUAAUGUGUAGGAUAGGUGGGAGACUACGAAGCGGCGUCGCUAGGCGUUGUGGAGUCAUCCUUGAAAUACCACCCUUUGCUUAUCUCGAGUCUAACUCAGAGAUGAGGACAGUGCUUGGUGGGUAGUUUGACUGGGGUGGUCGCCUCCAAAAGAGUAACGGAGGCUUCUAAAGGUACCCUCAGCACGCUUGGUAACCGUGCGUAGAGUGCAAUGGCAUAAGGGUGCUUGACUGAGAGACAUACAAGUCGAUCAGGUUGGAAACAAGAGCAUAGUGAUCCGGUGGUUCCGCAUGGAAGGGCCAUCGCUCAAAGGAUAAAAGGUACUCCGGGGAUAACAGGCUGAUCUCCCCCAAGAGCUCAUAUCGACGGGGGGGUUUGGCACCUCGAUGUCGGCUCGUCACAUCCUGGGGCUGGAGAAGGUCCCAAGGGUUGGGCUGUUCGCCCAUUAAAGUGGCACGCGAGCUGGGUUCAGAACGUCGUGAGACAGUUCGGUCCCUAUCUGCUGUGGGCGUUGGAAAUUUGCGCGGAUCUGCUUCUAGUACGAGAGGACCGAAGUGGACGAACCUCUAGUCUACCUGUUGUGGCUCCCGCUGCAUCGCAGGUUCGCUACGUUCGGAUUUGAUAAUCGCUGACCGCAUCUAACCAA
rnacentral:rRNA from 1 species